ACCGAGAACAACGUGAACCGCACCUGCUGUACUGUUUAGAAUCCCUUCAGACCUUGGCCACAACGUCCACACUUACAGAUCUCACGCUUGCCUUACAGCAAGAUGGAGAUACCAACUAGGUCAUUACUUUCAGGAAUGUCAGGAGGAUGGAGCUCAAGGAUACAAGCCAGAGGUUAGCAUAGCAACAGCCCUACAGGAGAGAGCUUUCAAGUAGAAGAGCCAUUUGCGCGACGUUGGUAUGGCACCCCUUGUCGUUUACUAUCACAUUUGUAGCUUCUGAGCCUCGUGAUGGAAACAUGACUGAAUCUAACUUCUGACUCCUGAGUUUCCUUCAGGACGCGUGAGGGCAACCGUGAGUUGUAUCUCUUUUCCACAUUCACCUUAGUCCAGCUCACAGCCACUCUUUCCAGGGCUCACCUCUCGCAAGCUUCCUUGUGAGCAGAUCUGGGGAAGAAAACAUAAACUGUGUUGUUUGCCUUGGCCGCUAUUGGCAACGCCCUCGUCCACCCCUUGUGUUUCCUGGGCCAGCGAAGGCAUCACGUGGAUGCUGGUAUCACGUGGACGCUGGCAUCACAUGGACGCUGGCAAACUUCCUGGCCACCUGUGAUGGUAACCUUGAUUGAUAGCUUGACAGGAUCUAGAAGGAUCUCUGAAGAGACAAGUCUCUAGGCAUGUCUGUGAGGGAUUAUCUGGAUUAGGUUAUUUGGGGUGGAAGGACACUCCAUAUGUGUGGGCAGCAGCAUUGCGCAGACUCGGAGUCUCAGAGUCUCCACAGACUCAAAGAGAGAAGGCAAGCUGGGUAUCAGCAUUCACUGCUCUCUGCUUCCUGACUGUGAAUUCAACGUGACCAUCUGUCUCAUGUUCCCGCUACCAAGCGUUUGUCACCAUGAGGGACUGUGUCUUUAUAUGCCUGUCAGUAUAAACUCUUCUUUGCUUUUGCCAAGUUAUUUUGUCGUAGCGGCUUGAGACAGGCUACUAAGCACUUCCCAAGAAAUGUUCCCACUACUGUAUACGGUGGCAUUUUCCAGACCCCGGAUUUGCUGCAUAUUUACAUUUGGGGCAGUUGAACAAUGUCAGAACACAGCCCUAAGAAUGGAGUUGUCUGAGGAGAGUUCUGACGGCUUGUGAGAAAACUCCACGAAGAAUAAGACAAGAGGCCUGUGACCUCAGUUUCUUUAAAGACAUAGAAUUGUUCUCAGAAUGUGCUUUCCCGUACCUCCUAGGUGUAGCAGAGAGGAGUGAGCUUACUUUAGGUUAUUUAUUUCAGCUGGUAAUUAUUAUUUUGUUUGUACAACUCUAUAAAAAACAAAACAAAACAUGGUUUCUGCCACGUGAAGCUGGUCCUUAUGAUCACACCCUUUACUCAGGUGACUCUCCUUAACCCUCGGAGCACAAAUUGUCCGAUGCUCUGAAUAAAGUCGACUAUUGCAUGAGAAGUCACUCUGCCUCAUUUUUCAGGCCCGCUCUCCAAGAGUCACACCACCAAUGAGAUAGGUAAACAGCUGAGGAAGUAAGACCCCUGUUCUUCCUUUGGAGGGCACCAAACCGGCUGGUGUCUUACAUAAGAUAACGAAAUACACAGGCUGGCAUUUCACAGAGAUGAUUCCAGUACUGUUCACAACAGCUAAGUUAUGGAGUCAACCUAGGGUGUCCAACGGGGAAGACUGGAAAAAGAAAAUGUCAUUUAUGUCCAUGAUAACAUCAUAUAUAAAGAAACCAUUUCAGCUAUCUAGCAGAGCAAAACUGGGUAAUUUUCAGGAAAAUGGAUGCAACUGGUGAUCAUCACAUUAAGCGAAUAAGUCAACGUCUAAAAUUCAAACGUUGCAUGCUUUCGCUUAUUUAUGAGUCCUAGACAUGAUAAAUGCAGAUAAUAUCGUAUCCACACUGACAUAGAAGUCGAAUUGUCUGCGAGACAAGGCAGGGUUUGUGGCAGAGGGAGACGCGGAAAGAGGACAGUAAUGCAGCAUGCGUCAGUAUGGAUGGUCAAAAUCCAUCACAUAAGAAAAUGGCUUAUGUGACCAGGUAUGAAAAGAAUGUCAGUGUCCUCGGGGCCUCUCCUCUCAAACAGUACUUAAAAGGGUGGACAAGCUGCCGCUCAAUGCCAUGUUUUCUCAUCAUGUCUAAUGGCAGUGAAGUCAUCUCCCCACUGCAGGUGCAAGAGUGGUUUCUGCAUCAGCCCAGAAAAAUUCUGGCAAAUCCUAUGUCAGUGCCGAUGAGUGGUGUUCAAGUAUAUGUGUAAGACCUACAUCCCCAUGUUCUGUAACCAAUACACAAGAUCUACUUCGUGCAAACAAGGGAUGCUUGGCAACUGAGGACUUGUCAGUCGUGAGCAUAGCGGACACCAGACUGUGGACAAGGAUGCCAUAAAUGAUCCCAUGAGCAAACAAGUAUCCCAGCAAGGCCACCACCAGCUACACACUCGGUGGCCAUGCUCCACUGAGGCUGAGACCUGAGAUAUAAGAAUAGGGUCCUUGGUACAUGGGCUUUCUUCUCAGAGUCUCAUCUACGUGGGUUAUUUUUGUUUCUGUAGACACCUGAUGUGGUCAGAGCUGAGAAUGUCCGUGGGCACACAGCACGUGGACAUCACAGCAGGGUGAAAACUAAUUGGGUUGACUGAAGACUGCAGAACCCACCAUCAUCAUCACCACCUGUGUCCAGGAUGCCACACAUCUCCAUAGAUAAGUGUGUAACGUUUUAUAUCAAGGCAGCAGUGAAUCUCAGGCUUGACUUAAUUAAAAAAUCUGCUUCAUUUCAAAACCAGCGCUCAGCUCCUCUGGCACAGUAUUUCUCAUUCACUGGUCAUGUGUUGCGACCUCCAACCUCCCUGCAUUCAUGAGACCUUACCAGAGGCAGUGUGGAACAAUGACUGAAAACUUGGCUUUGAGACGAAACUUAAUGCAUUGGAUAUGACCUCCCUACUAUGAGGCAUGGAGUCAAUUUCCUCACAAAAUUAAAGCAUCUGUUUCUGUGAGUUCUAAUCACAUGCCUGGUCUGGCCCAGAUCUCAAAUGGUGGCCCCAUUACUUUGCUUCCAAUUUUGCUCCAUAACCAAUCAUGUGUACGGGGACGGUGACCACAACAAAAGCAAAA